rnacentral:misc_RNA from 1 species
CCCCGACUUGAACGGAGCUCAUUUUUUGUAGCUGGAAAAGCGAAGGCAAAAAUAGCGGGAGUGGAAGGCGGAUUAAGGC